rnacentral:rRNA from 1 species
UCCUGGCUCAGGAUGAACGUUGGCGGCGUGCCUAAUACAUGCAAGUCGAACGGAGAUUGUAGCAAUACGGUCUCAGUGGCGAACGGGUGAGUAACGCGUUGGUGACCUGCCCCGAAGUGUGGAAUAACAGAUCGAAAGAGCUGCUAAUACCGCAUAAUAUCCAGGAGAUUAGAUGCUUCUGGAUUAAAGGAUUUAUCCGCUUCGGGAGGGGCCUGCGUCCCAUCGGCUAGUUGGUAAGGUAAAGGCUUACCAAGGCGAUGACGGGUAGGGGACCUGAGAGGGUGGCCCCCCACAAUGAAACUGAAACACGGUCCAUACACCUACGGGUGGCAGCAGUAGGGAAUAUUAGUAAUGGGCGAAAGCCUGAACUAGCAACGCCGCGUGUGCGAAGAAGGCCUUCGGGUUGUAAAGCACUUUUUGAGAGGAUGAGGAAGGACAGUAUCCCCGGAAUAAGGCUCGGCUAACUACGUGCCAGCAGCCGCGGUAACACGUAGGAGCCAAGCGUUAUCCGAAUUCACUGGGCGUAAAGCGCGUGUAGGCGGCUCGGUAAGUUGGAUGUGAAAGCUCCUGGCUCAACUGGGAGAGGACGUUCAAUACUGUCGGGCUAGAGGACGGCAGAGGGAGGUGGAAUUCCCGGUGUAGUGGUGAAAUGCGUAGAUAUCGGGAGGAACACCAGUGGCGAAGGCGGCCUUCUGGGCCGUACCUGACGCUCAGACGCGAAAGCUAGGGGAGCGAACGGGAUUAGAAACCCUCGGUAGUCCUAGCCGUAAACGAUGUAGACUUGGUGUAGGUGGUGUAAAAACCAUCUGUGCCGAAGCCAACGCGAUAAGUCUACCGCCUGGGGACUACGGCCGCAAGGUUAAAACUCAAAGGAAUUGACGGGGGCCCGCACAAGCAGCGGAGCGUGUGGUUUAAUUCGAUGCUACACGAAGAACCUUACCUGGGUUUGACAUGCAAGUGGUAGGGAACUGAAAGGGGACCGACCCUUCGGGGAGCUUGCACAGGUGCUGCAUGGCUGUCGUCAGCUCGUGUCGUGAGAUGUCCGGUUAAGUCCGGUAACGAGCGCAACCCCUGCCGUAUGUUACAAGUGUCAUACGGGACUGCCGGUAUAAAGCCGGAGGAAGGUGGGGAUGACGUCAAGUCAGCAUGGCCUUUAUGCCCAGGGCUACACACACGCUACAAUGGUCAGGACAAUAGGUAGCAAAACCGCGAGGUGGAGCCAAUCCUGAAACCUGGCCACAGUUCAGAUUGCAGGCUGCAACCCGCCUGCAUGAAGCCGGAGUUGCUAGUAACCGCGCGUCAGCCAUAGUGCGGUGAAUACGAACCCGGGCCUUGCACUCACCGCCCGUCA